rnacentral:lncRNA from 1 species
ACGCAUGCGCAAGGCUUGAAUGGCGUCGGGGUUGGAGGGUUGGAAGGUCGGGAAGUGAAGGACUCGCAGGCAUAUUUAACAACGCAAAGUUGCUAGGAGUUGGUACCAGCGUUUGGGAGGUAGAGGUGGCGCUCAUGCAUAUUUGAGACAACAUCUGGAUGGUUGGGGAGAACGGUAAGGAGGAAGCGGCGCGCAUGCGUAUUUCAGACGGAGUGCCGGGGAGGGGAGGCGCUCAGCAUUCGGGUAAUUAAGGUUGCAAAAUGGCGAGGGGGGAGGUGAUGCCACACUCAAUCAGAAACUAUGCUACUGCUGAAGAGGUAUAUUGAGCCCUGCCUGGUUAACCUCCAGUGAGGUUAUUAGAGAAUUGGGAGAGGCUCAAAUCAGCAUCCUGCACCUAGUUAUCAAACCAUUGUGAAGUCUUGAUUCCUGGAUGGCCAGAAAACUUGUCAUUGGUCAAGAGCAACAUUAAGAUCUGCCUGUUACUCAUACUGAUGCUUCCUGCCCAGCAAGUUCAUCAGAGGGCGAGGAUGAAUUACGGUUGCCAUGAAUGUCCUUGUGAGGCAGUUGGGAAGCCUUGGCUGGAUUGUGAAGGAUAUUUGAAAAGUAUUUUAGAGUCCACCAGAUCAUCCAUGUGAGUGACCAUGCAGCAAAAGAAGGAGGGUCCUCUCAGUGAUUAAGGAUUAUGAAGUAUUAAUUCUUCCACUGAUAUCUCAAAAGGUGAUCUGGACAAAGGAACAGGUAUCUCAGUAGAGACGGGGUUUCACCAUAUUGGCCAGGCUGGUCUCGAACUCCCGACCUUGUGAUCCGCCCACCUCAGCCUACCAAAGUGCUGGGAUUACAGGCGUGAGCCACCGCACCUAGCGAUGCUUAAAUCUUCUAGUCCACAAAUAUGAGAUGUCUUUCCACAUAUGUAGAUAUUCCUCAACUCCUCUGACAAAUAUUUUGUGUUAUUCACAGUUCAUGCUGAAUUUCACUUUAUCCCACAGUAUUUUGCCUUAAUAAUAUUGUAAAUAAAAAUGUUUCAAUGAUGUCACUUUUGACUUCUUUAAUAAUAUAUAGAAAUACAACUGAUUUUUGGAUUGUAAUCUUAAAUCACAAAAACUUGCUGAGAUGAUCUUGUUAUUGGAAUCCAAAUUUAUUGGAUCCACUGGGGUUGUGUAUGUACAAAACCAUGUCAUCUGCAAAAGGUUUUGCUGCUUCCUAUUUAAAAAAUUUUAUUUCCUUCCAUAUGCAAUGCAAUUAAUGUCACAGAUACUUCCAGUACACUGUUGAACAGAACUGGCAAGAAUGUUUUAUCCUGUCCUUGCUCCUCUUCUUACAGAGAAAGCAUUCUUUAAAUACUAAGUGUAACAUUAGUUUUGAGGGUUUUGGGUUUUCUGUUUUGUUUUGCUUUUUAGAGACAGGGUCUCACUCUGUUGUUCAGUCAGGAGUACAGUGGCAUCAUCAUAGCUCAUUGUAAACAUGAACCUCAGCUUCCCAAGUAGCUAGGCGUACAGGCAUGUGUCAUCACAUCUGGAUUUUUUUUUUUUUUUUAAGAUACAGAGUAUCCUUAUAUUGCCUAGGCUGAUCUCAGACUUCUGGCCUCAAGUAAUCCUGCUUUGGCUUCCCCAAGUGCUGGGAUUACAGCCACGGCACCAGGUUCUAGUUGUGAAUUCUUAAAAUAUGCCCUUUACUAGGUUGUGGUUUACUUCUUAGUUUACCAAAUACUUUUUCCACCUUCUAUUUUUUUUUUCUCUCUCUUUUUUUUUAAACAUAGUCUUGCUGUGUCAGCCAGGUCCAAGUGCAGUGGCACAAUCUCCGCUCACUGCAACCUCCACCUCCUGGGUUCAAGUGAUUCUACUGCCUCAGACUCCCGAGUAGCUGGGAUUACAGGCACUUGCCACCAUGCACAGGUAAUUUUAGUAUUUUUAGUAGAGAUGGGGUUUCACCAUGUUGGCCAGGCUGGUCUCGAACUCCUGACCUCAAGUGAUCCGCCCACCUCAGCCUCCCCCAGUGCUAGGAUUACAGGCGUGAGUCACUGAGCCCAGCCCAUGGCUAUUACAAAGUCAAAAACAAACAAACAAACAAACAAAAAAACAGAUUCUGGUGAAGUUACAGAGAAAAAGGAAUGCUUAUACACUGUUGGUAGGAGUAUUAGGAUUACAGGCGUGAGCCUCCACUUCCAGCCGUCCACAAUCUAUUGAGAUGACCAUGUUGUUUUCUUCCUUCAGUCUGUUGCACUAAUCAUUUCCAGCUGAUGAAAUAACGUUGCAUUCCAGGGAUACACUGUACUGGGUACUGGUGUACAUUCCUGUUUAUAUGUUACUGUAUUUGGUUUGCCAAAAUUUACUAGGAAAUUUCACAGAUCCACUCAUAAGCGAUAUUAUCAGAGUUUUCCCUGUGUAUGAUGUUUCACUUUGGUAUCUAGAUAACAAUAGCAUCAUAGAACCAGUAAAAAAUAUUACAUGCUCUUCCAAGUUUUUAAGACAUUUUUAUCGAAUUGGUAAUUUUCAUGUGUUUGGUAUAAUAUACAAAAGAAUACAUUUGAACUGGGAAUUUACAUGUGUGUCAGGGGCAGGGGUGAGAGUUUUUAAAUUACCAAUUUAUUGUCUUCACUUUGUUCUUGAAUGAGUUGUGGUAGUCAGUGUCUUUCUAGGAAUUUGUCUACUUCCACAAAGAUAUUUGUCAAAAUACUAAUCCCUUGUAUGGAAUAAGGUCAUUAGGAACAUCACGUUUUACAUUUCUCAUUUUAAUAAAGCUUUAUUUUAUGAAUAAGUCAACGAAGUGCUGUGUUUCUCAAUUAUUUUUAAUUCUCUAUUUCCACACUAAACUUUAUAUCCUUUCUGCUUUGAUUUUAAUUUGUUCUUUUUUUACUGUAUUUUCUAAAGUUGGAAAGUUAGGUUAGUAAUUUGAAGUACUUCUCAUUUCAUUACAAUGUUCAUAGCUAUUAAUUUCACUGUAAGCGUUGCUUUCACACAUCUCACAGAAUUUGAUAUGUUGUUUCUGUAUUUUCAUUCACCUCAAAGUAUUUUCUGAUUUCCUUAUAAAUUCUCCUUUGACUUGUUGGUUACGUAACUUUUUUUUUUUUUUUUUUUUUUUGACAGUCUUUGUCGCCCAGGCUGCAGUGCAGUGGUGUGAUCUCGGCUCACUGCCACCUCUGCCUCCUAGGCUCAAGUGAUUCUAGUGCCUCAGCCACCCGAGUAGCUGGGACUACAGGCGCACACCACCACAUCUGGCUAAUUUUCUGUAUUUUUAGUAGAGACAGGGUUUCACCAUGUUGGCCAGGCUGGUCUCCAACUCCUGACUUCAAGUGAUCCACCCUCCCCGGCCUCCCAAAGUGCUGGGAUUACAGGUGUGAGCCACCACACUCAGCAUAACUUUUUAAAUUUGCACAAAUAUGUAUAGUUCCUAUCUCUGUGUUAUUUCUAAUUUCAUUAAAUUUUAGUCAUAGAACAUAUUUUGUAUAAUUUCAAUAUUUUUAACCUUCAUUUGGUUUGUUUUGUAUGAUGUUAGUGCAGACAUUCCAGUUUUUUUGUGGUUGCUACUUGGAUAUUUCUAUUUCCAUCCUAUUUCUUUCAACACUUUUGUAUUUUAUAAACUGCCUACAACAGACACCUUAUAGUUUGAUUGUUUUUUAAAUAUCCACUUGGUCAAUCAGACUGGUUUGGAUUGCUUGAUCCAUCAGUACAGCUGGAUUUAAAUUUUCCAUUAUACAUUUUAAAAUUCUAUGUCUAUCUUCUUUUACAGAAUCCCUCCUAUACUACUUUUUAUAAGUUAAUAUUUUCUAAAAUAAUGUAUUAUUAUCUUUAACGAUUUUUCCCUCUAUUAUAUGAAAAUCCUUUUUAGUGGUUGCAGUAGGGCUUUUUUUUAUAAUUGACAAGUAAUAAUUGUAUAUAAUUCCAGGGAACUAUCUGAUGUUUUUGUAUGUAUACAUAGUGUAAUAACUAAAUCAAGCACAUUAACAUAUCCAUAACUUCACCUACUUUUGUUGUGACAACUUUAAUAUCUACUUAUAACAAUUUUAAAAUAUACAGUCAGUGACAAUGGUCACCAUGCUGUGAAAUAUGUCUAAAACUUAUUCCUCCUAACAGAAAAUUGGUACUCUUUGACCAACGUCUUGCCUUUGCCCAUCUCUCCAACACCCACAUCCUGGAAACCAUAACAUCCAACUUUCUACUUGUAUGAGUUAGCCUUUCUUAGAUUCCACAUACAAAUAUAAUGUAGUAUUUGCCUCUCUGUGCCUGUCUUACAACACUUAGCAUAGUAUACUACAGAUUCAUCCAUGUUGUCACAAAUGACAAUUUUCCUUCUUUUCCAAGGAUAAAAAAUAUUCCAAUAUGUAUAUACAACACAUCUUCUAUGUCCAUUCAUCUGUUAUGAAAACUUAAGUCUUUUCCAUUUAUUAGCUUUGUAAAUAAUUUCAAAAUAAGGGAGUGCAAGAUCUCAACAUACUGCUUCAAUUCCUUUGGAUAUAUACCUAAGUAGAGAUUGCUAGAUCAUAUAGUAAUUGUACUUUUAGUUUCUUAAGGAACCACCAUAUAGUUUCCUAAAUUGGCUAUACUAAUUUAUAUUCCCACUAACAGAAUGUUGGGACUUCCUUUUAUCCACAUCCUUGCCAGCACCUGUCUUUCAUCCUUUUAAUAAUAGCCAUUCUAAAAGGUGUAAGGUAAUAUCUUGCAGUUUUGAUUUGCAACUCACUAAUGAUUAGAGAUGUUGAGCAUUUUUUUCAUGUAUCAAUCAAUUGGCCACUCAUGUCUUCCUCUGAAAAAUUUAAGUUGAGGUCCUUUUCCCCCUUUUAAAGACAGUUGUUUUCUUGCUAUUGGGCUUGGGUUUCUUAAUACAUUUUGGAUAUUAGCCCCUUAUCAGAUAUAUGAUUUGAAAAUGGUUUCUCAAAACCCGUGUCUUCAUUCUGUUAACUGUACCCUUUGCAGUGCAGAUGCUUUUUAGUUUGAUGCAACUCAAGUUGUCUGUUGCGGGAAGUCAGGGACCCCAAACGGAGGGACUGGCUGAAGCCAUGGCGGAAGAACGUGGAUCGUGAAGAUUUCAUGGACAUUUAUUAGUUCCCCAAAUUAAUACUUUUAUAAUUUCUUAUGCCUGUCUUUACUGCAAUCUCUAAACAUAAAUUGUGAAGAUUUCAUGGACACUUAUCACUUCCCCAAUCAAUACCCUUGUGAUUUCCUAUGCCUGUUUUAAUCUCUUAAUCCUGUCAUCUCGUAAGCCGAGGAGGACGUAUGUCGCCUCAGGACCCUGUGAUAAUUGUGUUAAGUGCAGAAAUUGUAGAGCAUGUGUGUUUAAACAAUAUGAAAUCUAGGCACCUUGAAAAAAGAACAGGAUAACAGCAAUGUUCAGGGAAUAAGAGAGAUAACCUUAAACUCUGACCGCCGGUGAGCCAGGCGGAACAGAGCCAUAUUUCUCUUCUUUCAAAAGCAAAUGGGAGAAAUAUCGCCGAAUUCUUUUUCUCAGCAAGGAACAUCCCUGAGAAAGAGAAUGUGCCCCUGAGGGUGGGCCUCUAAAAUGGCCCCCUUGGGUGUAGCUGUCUUCUAUGGUCGAGACUGUAGGGAUGAAAUAAGCCCCAGUCUCCCAUAGCGCUCCCAGGCUUAUUAGGACGAGGAAAUUCCCACCUAAUAAAUUUUGGUCAGACAGGUUGCUCUCAAACCCUGUCUCCUGAUAAGAUGUUAUCAAUGACGAUGGUGCCCGAAACUUCAUUAGCAAUUUUAAUUUCAACCCAGUCCUGUGGUCCUGUGAUCUCGCCCUGCCUCCAUUUGCCUUGUGAUAUUCUAUUACCUUGUGAAGCACGUGAUCUCUGUGACCCACCUCCUAUUCGUAUACUCCCUCCCCUUUGAAAAUCCCUAAUAAAAACUUACUGGUUUUACGGCUCAGGGGGCAUCACGGAACCUACCGACAUGUGAUGUCUCCCCAGGAUGCCCAGCUUUAAAAUUUCUCUCUUUUGUACUCUGUCCCUUUAUUUCUCAACCCGGCCAAUGCUUAGGGAAAAUAGAAAAGAACCUAUGUGACUAUCUGGGCAGGUUCCCUGAUAGUUGUCUGGCUGUUUUUGCUGCCCAUGCUUUUAAGGAUGUAUCCAAGAAAUCAUUGCCCAGAACAACAUCAUAGAGCUUUUCCCCUAUAUUUUCUACUAGUAGUUUUACAGUUUCAAAGGCAACAUUUCAGGCUUUAAUCCAUUUUGAGUUGAUUUUUCUAUAUGCUAUGAGAAAAUGGUUCAAUUUCACAUAUAGAUAUACAGAUAUCUCAAAACAAUUUAUUUAUUUAUUUGUCCUCUCCCCAUUCUGUGUGCCACUUUUGUCAAAAAUCAAUUGGAUGGAAAUGUAUGAGUUAUGUCUGGGCUUUCCUGUUCCACUGGUCAGUGAAUCUGUUUUUAUGCUGGUACCACAGUUUUUUGAUAAUGGAUUACAAAAUCAGGUAGAGUGAUGCCUCCAGCUGUGUCCUUGUUGCUCAAGAUUACUUUGAUUAUUUAAUGUCUUUUGUAGUUCCAUACAAGUUUUAGAAUUUUUUUUGUAUUUCUGUAAAAAAAAUAAAAAUAAAAAGGACAUUGAAAUAUUGAUUACACAGAAUCUGUAUGUUUCUUUUGGCAGUAUGAAAAUUAUAACAAUAUAAAUUUCCCAAUCCAUGUACAAAGAAAAAUUUCUAUUUUUGUAAUCUUCAAUUCGUUUCAUCAAUGUUUUCACUAUACAGAUCUUUAACCUACUUGGUUAAAUUCAUUCAUAAGUUUGUUUACUUAGUAAAUAGUGUAAAUGUGAUUAGUUUCCUGAUUACUUUUUUGGAUAGAUUGUUGUUUGUUAGUGUAUAGAAAUGCUACAGACUUAAUUGUCAAUUUUGUACGUAGCACUUUUUAUGGAAUUCAUUUUAUUAGUUCUAUAGUUUUUUUUUUUUUAAUGGAGUCUUUAAGGUUUUCUAGCUAUAAGAUAAGAUAAUCAGGAGAGGCAAGUUUUUUCUUCUUUUCCUACUUAGAUGUCUUUUAUUUCUCUUGCCUAAAUGCUCUUGCUAUGACUUCCAGUACAACACUGAACAGAAGGAGAAAAAAUGGCAUCCAUGUCUUGUUCCUGAUCUUAGAGAAAAAGCCUUCAACUCUUCGGUGUUAAGAUUUCAGCUCUGGGCCGGUCAUAUAGGGCCUUUAAUGUGUUGAGACAUCUUCCUUUUAUACCUAACUUGUUCAGGUUUUUAUCAUGCAAAGAUGUUAAGUAUUGGGCCGGGGACUGUGGCUCAUGCCUGUAAUCCCAGCACUUUGGGAGGUCAAGGAGGGUGGAUCACCUGAGGUUAGGGGUUCAAGACCAACCUAGCCAACAUGGUGAAACCCUGUCUCAACUAAAAAUACAAAAGUUAGCUAGGCAUGGUGGCAGAUGCCUGUAAUCCCAGCUGCUCGGGAGGCUGAGGCAGGAGAACCCAGGAGGCAGAGGUUCAAGCGAUUCUCCUGCCUCAGCCUCCAGAGUAGCUGGCAUUACAGGCACAUACCACCACGCCUGGCUAAUUUUUGUAUUUUUAGUAAAGACGAUGUUGUGCCAUGUUGGCCAGGCUGGUCUCGAACUCCUGACCUCAGGUGAUGUGCCUGCCUCGGCCUCCCAAACUGCUAGGAUUACAGGCGUGAGCCACCGCACCCAGCCAACUAUGUACUUACUUUUAUCAGCGAGUUUUAUACUCACGUUUUCAUGUUUCUAAUUAGCACUCUUUUACUACAGCUUGAAGGACUCCCUUUAGCAAUUCUUCCCGUGCAGGUCUAGUGGUGGUAAACUCCCACAUCUUUUGUUUGAGAACUUUAUAUUUCUCCUUAAUUUUUGAAACACAGGAUAGUUGGAGAUAGUAUUCCUGGAUGGCAGUGUUUUCCUUUCAGCUUUUUGUAUAUAUCACGACUGCCUUCUGGCGUGAAAGUUUUCUGGUGAAGUCUGCUGACAGUCUUCCGUGGAUCAUUUUGUAUGUAAGAAGAGACUAUUCCCUUGCUGCUCUGAAGAUUGUCUUUAACCUUUAUUUAAUUACAAUAUGGUUUGGUGUGAGUCUCCUUGGAUUCAUCAUACCUGAUGUUCGAGAUUCUUAGAUCUAAAUUUCUAUUUCCUUGCCAGAAUUAUGAGGUUUUCUGACAUUAUUUCUUCAAAUAUGUUUUCUGUCCUUUUCCCUCUAUCUUCUCCAUCUGGUAAUGUAUAAAUUAUUCCCCUUUGAGGAUGUCUCAAAAGUCUCUUAAACUAUCUUCAAUCUUUUUUCUUUUUUCUCCUCACAUUACAUGAUUUCCAAUGGCCUAUCUACAAGUUUGAUAGCCCUUUCUUCUGCUUCAUCGAUUCUUCUGUUGGACACAUUAAAUUUUUGAGUCCAGUUAUUGUAUUCUUCAACUUUAUACUUUUUGUUAUCUUUUAUUUCUUUAUGAAAAUUCUCAGUUUGUUCAUGCAUUGCUCCCAUGAGACUCUUUAUGGUUGCUCUUUUUAAUUUCCUGUCAGGUUAAUCACAUAUCUUCAUUUCAUUAGGGUUGGUUUCUGAAGACUUAUCUUCUUUUAUUUAGAGUGUUUCUGUGUUUCAUUUUUCUUGACUCAAUGUGUUGAUUUCUGUGAAUUAGAUAAGAUAACCUCCUCUACCAGUCUUGUUAAACUGGCCUUCGGUAGGAGAUGUUUCUCUCCAAAUAACCCAGUGAAAGAUCUAGAUGCCUCUUUGUUCUUCUAUAACCCACUUUUACUGGCCUCCAGAGGUGAGGAUGAACUAAGUCAUAAUUUUGCCUUGAGACAGGUACUGGUCCCUCAUAAUGCAGCUGGAAGGGUUAGUGUUAUAUGUGUGUUCCAGUUGCUUCUUUCCUUUGAAGAAACUGAGAGACAAAGUUUACAUCAUACUGAUUUUGCACCACACCAAGUAGAGAAUUUGUGGUAGAUGUCUGUAAUCUCUUUGAGACUACUCAAUCUGAAACUGAGGCGAUAACUUCUGAAUGUUUCCAAGUUUGAAAAUCACCUAUUCUUGCUGGACGCGGUGGCUCAUGCCUGUAAUCCCAGCACUUUGGGAGGCUGAGGCGGGCGGAUCACCUGAGGUCGGGAGUUCGAGACCAGCCUGACCAACAUGGAGAAACCCCGUCUCUAGUGAAAAUACAAAAUUAGACGGGCGUGGUGGUGCAUGCUUGUAAUCUCAGGUAUUCAGGAGGCUGAGGCAGGAGAAUCACUUGAACACGGGAGGUGAAGGUUGCAGAGAGCCGAGAUUGCGCCACUGCACUCCAGCCUGGGCAACAGUAGUGAAACUCCAUCAAAAAAAGAAAAGAAAAAAGAAAAGAAAAGGGGGGGAGGGGAGGGGAGGGGAGGGGAGAGGAGAGGAGAGGAGAGAAAACUACCUAUUCUCAGUGGUACAGGAGACUCAGGAAUGAAGAGCUCUUUCAACUCCAGAGCUGGGUGAUACAGGAGCCAGUACCUUGAAUGAGGGAUGUAAAAUAUGGGGCAGUCAGUAUGUGUACAAAUUACUCCCAGGGAAAGUCUGCAGAAACGAAUUCAUCACCAGAGCAGGCCAAGUAGGAAAGCAUGGGAAGUACCCAAUCUCACAAUAAGGCACAGUAAGUCACACAACCUCCUGCCAGUAAGGAUUUGGAAGCCUGGACUUAUUGCUGGAGCAAUCUGAAGAAGAAAUUGCGAAGAACAUUCAUCUCCCUUUAAGGCUUCCUGAAGUCUCACAAACUCACUUCACACAGAAUCUCCAGGCCAAUAUGUUGUUGGAACAAGACUGGUACAUAGGAAGGCAGGUGAAGUACAGUUCCUCACAUAUAGCAUAAGAGAGGUCUGUCUCCCAGUCUCCUUCCAGGGAGAGAUUACAAGGUUAUACAUAUCUGGAGAAAGCUGGGAAAAGGCAUGGUGGGUUUUGACCCUUCCAUUUUUGCUCACUGAGGCCUCAAAUCUCUUUCAAGGGAAACUAUAGACCUGGAUUAAUCACUAGAGCAAUCCAG